ensembl:lncRNA
UUCGUUUCUCCGUUUAUCAACCGACAUUUCCCUCUUAUGAAUAAAGCAUCUAUGAGUGUCCACGCGCAAGGCUGUGUGAGCUCUCUUGCCUGAGAGUGAAAUUGCUGGGUCGCGUAAUCAUAAGAUCUUCACCAUUUUGAGGAACUACUAGACUCUUCCAAAGUGGCUGCACCCUUUUCCGAUACAGUCCCCCCAGCACUGCAGGAGGCUCCAGCUUCUCCACAUCCUAGCCAAGUGCUUGUUGUCUGUCUUUUGCUCUGUUUUUUGGCCGCCCUGCGUGGAAUCUUAGUUCCGCAACCAGGAAUUUUAUUUUGUUUACGUUUGUUUGUUUGGCUGAGCCGAGUCUUGGUUGCAGCAUUGGGAUCUCCAGUUGCGACAUGCGCACUCUCAGCUGUGGGAUACAGGCCCCUGACCAGGAAUUGAACCGGGCCUCCUGCACUGGCACAGUGGAGUAUUAGCCACUGGCCCACCGGGGAAGCCCCUGUGUUUUUGCUCGAAGCCGUCCUGGUUCUGGAGAUUAAGGCCCUGGUCUCGCAGACAGCAGACAAGCAGAACAAGGACGUCAGGCAGGAAUUAGGAGUCAGCAGGGCUGAGAGCCCGGGCAGGGACCGGUGGCCCCUGACUCCUGUGUUUGGCCCCGGCGGGUCUCAGUGCUGCGUGUGGGAUCUUUAGCCGCCACAUGCGGGCCCUGGUGCCCUGACCAGGGAUGGAACCCGGGCCCCUGCUUUGCUGGCACAGCGUCUUAGCCCCUGGACCACCUCGGAAGUCCUGACAUCUACUUAGACUUCUUUCUGCAAUGAGACAUCAAGAACCUGAGAGUCAGGAUGCCCAGACACAGAUGCUGAACCCCCACCAGGUGGAAGAAGUUCCGUAUCUGCUGCCCGCAAGCAUGUAGAGCCUAGACUUAACUGAAACCGGAAGGCUGGUGACGCUGACCCCCACUCGCCGUGCCGCCAGCCCAUCAGCACAAUGAGCCCGGGCUGACCACACAGGCCUCGAGCCGCGACGGCUCCCUCCAGGUCUGGACACACGGUUUUGAGGGCAUUCGCCCUCUGGGGCCCCUCAGCCUUGGCAAAGCAAGUAAAGAUACUCUUUUCUACUUCACCCCCUUCACACACACAAAAAAAGACAAUGUGAUGAAAAUAUGAGAGAAAAAAGUAGGAAAAUCAGGGAAUCAGUCCUGGAGAGUUAAACUUCUGAAAACCAGGGGUUCUUGGAAGGCAGAAGAGAGGAAACAGGAGGAAGGAAACCCUCUUGGAAAGAGCUCAGAAAACCCCCAAAUGGAGCUGAAGCAGCCUUCAGUUUCCGAGUGCAAAGGGCAAACUCUGAGAGAGUUUGCAAACAGAAGUCAUCACAUAGCUAACCUUCAGGACGCCAGGUUGCAGAGGCCUCGCCAGCGCCCCUGACAUACAGAGAGGGGGCCACAGCCAAAUGACCAGCAACCAAAAGGGGUCCAGACCGUCCGGGGGCGGGGGUGGAUACAUCUCCUUAUAAGUUUCUUUAAAAAAUAAAAAAAGCAAAACCAUUUUUAAAGAUUUUUAAAAUGUGA